AUGGAUUACGAGCCGCCGAAGCUCUGCCAUUGCAAUCCGCCAAGGAAGGUGCCGAGGUGGAUAUCAUGGAGCCGGCAGAACCCCGGCAGGAGGUACUACGCUUGCGUCCAUGCGCUGAAUGGUGGUUGUCGGUUUAUUGAGUGGCAUGAUGAUCCACUGCCCAAGUUUUUUUCUGAUUUGAUUGGACAUUUAAGAGAUGAAGUUUGGAGACUGAAGGGUGCUAGGACUGAAGAUGCAGUUGAAGAGCAAACAAUGACAGAAAGUGUGAUUGUGGCUCUGCAGGAACAGUUGAAAGAAAAAAGUGCUGGGGCAGAUGCAGUGAAGACCAAAUAUAAGACAAUUCUGGUUGUGUUUGUUGUCUUUGUGCUAGGUUUAGUGCUAGGGAAAUUUCUAGUGCACUGA
rnacentral:rRNA from 1 species